CGACGACUUACGAACGUCCUCGGAAUCAAUCGUUAGAUAAAAAUGCAAUUGGGAAAACUUAACGGAAAUAGAGUUUUCCGUCAUGAAAACGGUGAAAACAGGGGGACAGAAGUUGGUCACAUGUGUACCAAAAAACCGGCUUUUUAAGGAAACCGAAUGACGAUUUAUAUUAUAUUUUGCCAAACAGGACAUGACCCUUCAUUUAACAGGGCUUCCCAAUGUAGUUAAAUCUUGAAACUUGCAUAAUAGAAUAUGUAAACAUCGCAACAGCAUGAAAGGAAAAUUCAUGAAAAUAAUCGGAAAACUAGAAGCAUAGUGAUAAAAAACCUAUCGGUUUUAGGCAUUUGUGGUUCUUUACUGUCCUAAGAACAACCAGUGCUGAAAACAAUGAAGACCAGGGACUACAACAUAGUCAACGGAGAACUAGGUGUAAUCUAUAAGAAAUCGAACCUUUCCAUGGUACUAUCAGGCUAGAAACCUCUUUAAGUUGGUUUUUUUAUGUAUAUUAACGAUUACAAGCUCCUCAUGACUCACAGAUGACGCCGUUAAAUCUAAAUAGAAAACAGUAUGAGAUGGCUACACAAAAUAUAAAAAAUAUAUAAAAAGAACCACUGGAUCUGCCAUGAAAAAUAUUCACUAUAUUUGGAGUUUUUUAGACGAUUUCAAUGUACCACAGGCUACUUGUUCAAAUGUUUUAUUAGUAUGUGCACUAUCUCCAGCUCCAACAUCUUUAGAUUCCCAUGAGUCAUAAAAUUUUACCGAACCAGCAUCACCUAACUUGUUCCUAUCCCAAGAAUUAGAGCCAACACCUUCUUCAAAUGUGCCACCUUCAACGUCAAAAUGUACAGUAUCUUCCGAGUUAGUCCAUCAGUCAAGUAAGUGAAGACAAUUAAAAAGGCCGCCCCAAGAAGAUAUAGAUAAAGUGAUCGACUAUAUAAGUAACAAGAAAAAAUCAAGCAAGAUGAAAUAGAUCAUAUUUGUUUAGCAGCUAUGCCGAAACAUUCAAAAAAUUGUCUCCAAGAUGUCGGGAUGAAUUAAAAUACCAAUUAGCAAAAUUAUUUGCAGAGACAGAAUUAAAAUCUUACGACACUGCUGGCGAUUUAAAAUCAAAUUUUACGUCUAGCUCAUCACCCGCCUACUCAACCGUAAGUUCGGAUGAACCGAAUUAGUAUCAGGAGUAAGGCAAUAACAACCAAAGGUAUAUUCCAAUGACAGCGUCAUCACUUAUCCACAAAUAAAUAUACCGUCACCACAGCCAAUAAAUAUUGCCUA